rnacentral:rRNA from 1 species
AACGAACGCUGGCGGCAUGCCUAACACAUGCAAGUCGAACGAGACCUUCGGGUCUAGUGGCGCACGGGUGCGUAACGCGUGGGAACCUGCCUUUAGGUUCGGAAUAACUCAGAGAAAUUUGAGCUAAUACCGGAUAAUGUCUUCGGACCAAAGAUUUAUCGCCUUUAGAUGGGCCCGCGUUGGAUUAGCUAGUUGGUGGGGUAAAGGCCUACCAAGGCGACGAUCCAUAGCUGGUCUGAGAGGAUGAUCAGCCACACUGGGACUGAGACACGGCCCAGACUCCUACGGGAGGCAGCAGUUGGGGAAUAUUGGACAAUGGGCGAAAGCCUGAUCCAGCAAUGCCGCGUGAGUGAUGAAGGCC